rnacentral:rRNA from 1 species
UAGAAUAACAGUUCAAAUGCAGUCUAUGGUUAAGCCAUAGCAUUUCACAUCUGACUUGCUAUCCCGCCUGCGCACUCUUUACGCCCAGUGAUUCCGAGUAACGCUUGCACCCUCCGUAUUACCGCGCUGCUGGCACGAGUUAGCCGGUGCUUAUUCGUUAGAUACCGUCAUAAUCUUCUCUAACAAAAGGAGUUUACAAUCCUAAAACCUUCAUCCUCCACGCGGUUGCUGCUUCAGGUCUCCCCCAUUGAGCAAUAUUCCCUACUGCUGCUCCCGUAGGAGUCUGACCGUGUCUCAGUUCCAGUGUGCCGUCACCCUCUCAGGCGAUACCCGUC